CGUCAGCCUCCCAGCGCGACGCUAUCCCGCCAUUCCCCUGCCUCCUCCAAUCCCACCGCUCUGACGUCACCCCUGAGGAGAGUGGGCAGGGUCUGAUGAGCCGUACCAUUCUGCGGGCGGCCGGACGAUUGACGGUGUAUGCGCUUUCCCCCUCCCGGGUCUGCGGAUUUUCCUUCUGCAGAGUCGAUGAAACAAAGAGCCGGCACGUGGUUCCAGAGGCAGUCAGUGAGCAGAGACACUUUACACUGUAUAUAACUGUGUUAAAGCUGUUGUUUUUUUACGCUGCAGGUUUAAGUUUGAUGAUAUAUGUAAUAUACUGUGCUUGUGUAUGUAUGCAAUAUUCUAUGCAUUUCUGUUUGCCCUAAAUCUGACCAAAGAGGCCAAAGGAACGCUGAAAGAGAGCUGACACGGAGUCCUUGAUAUCCUGUCAACCGAUGCAAGUGCUGAUUUAUACCUUAGUAUUUGUGUCCACUGCAUUCGUAACACUGUCUUAUAAGCUUUAAUGGACACAUUGCCAGUGCUUCUUUACAUAUCUGUAAUAAUCCUUUUUGUACCCAGUAUUCACAGUAUAUGUAUCCAGAGAAGUAAUGCAAACGGUACAAUUUUUGCCUAAAUAGUGACUGAUCCAAAUGGCGGUAAGAGUAGGUCAUAUAAUAUUGUGGCAUGGGUGAAUUAUUAUGAAUAACCUCUCUGAGUAACCUUUCUGUUAACAAGGCUUUCAAAGCAUUAGGCAAGAAGUUAGGCAUUAGAUGGAAGAACGAUUAUUCUAGCUUCUGUUCUGCAGCUACAGAGAUCAUAUAUAGUAGUACCAUUGAAGGUUGUACCAUUAUAACAUGUAAACUGCCUUCUGGAAAGUACAGACAGUGAUGCAGGACUCACAGAUCUCUGCAUUUUGAUCAUAGUCAAUGUUGGAAAUUGUGCAUUUGGUAUUUACAAUGUACAUUAAGUUGCCUGCUCUCAACAGAAGGUACCACUCUACUCGUACAUUAUGAACAUUGUGUCUCUGAGCAUUAGACAUGCAUUCCAGGGAAAACCAGGAGAUAAAACCCCUGCAGUCUGGGUACAUUAGUGCCGGCAACUUCAAAAUAGCCUACAUUUUAUUACUUUUACUGUCAGCUUUGUAAAUAGCCUGUGUGAUACAGCAUUUUUCAGCUCCUUACAUUUCAUAGUGACCAUAUCUUUACCUCCCAGUACAGAGUCAUAUAGUCCUACAGAUCAAAGUAAAAUACGACAGGUCCACUUAAUUCAGGAAAGACUACCUUUCUUUCAUUGUCAGCAAUUUCAUAUGCAACAUAAAAUGUUAAUAUUCCAUUUUCAUAGUACCAUGUAGCAAAAGUUCAAUAUUUUCAUAUAAUAGCAGAGGUGUGAUUAGCCAUAUACUAAAUUUUGGACAUAUAGGACACAGAAAAUGGCAACGUUGUUUUCAGGGAAGACAAGACUUCCCUGGAUUAUUAUAUAUUGUAUAGCUAAGCCUCAUGGGUCCCCUUAACAGCAUCUGAUGGGGAGCAACAGGUUGGAGUUGUGUGGUUUAUAGCUUCUCUCCAAGGAUUUCCCAGAAGUAUUUCUUUGGUAGAACAAAAGCAGUACCCUAGAUUCACCUUAAUGAUUGUAAUAAAAUGCAUAUCAGGUAGUUGUUAGGUAACUUGUUCAGGACUGUGUCUGUAAGAGUAAAAAUCUACAUUACGGUACCUUGUGACAAAGAUCAGGGUCUGGAGAGAUUGUAUUUUUUCGAAAUUUAUUUAAAAAUGUUUAAAUUGCAAUACAGUAAUGGGUUUGGGAAAUUAA